rnacentral:rRNA from 1 species
CUACGGGAUGCUGCAGUGGGGAAUAUUGCACAAUGGGCGCAAGCCUGAUGCAGCCAUGCCGCGUGUAUGAAGAAGGCCUUCGGGUUGUAAAGUACUUUCAGCGGGGAGGAAGGGAGUAAAGUUAAUACCUUUGCUCAUUGACGUUACCCGCAGAAGAAGCACCGGCUAACUCCGUGCCAGCAGCCGCGGUAAUACGGAGGGUGCAAGCGUUAAUCGGAAUUACUGGGCGUAAAGCGCACGCAGGCGGUUUGUUAAGUCAGAUGUGAAAUCCCCGGGCUCAACCUGGGAACUGCAUCUGAUACUGGCAAGCUGGAGUGUGGUAGAGGGAGGUAGAAUUCCAGGUGUAGCGGUGAAAUGCGUAGAGAUCUGGAGGAAUACCGGUGGCGAAGGCGCCCCCCUGGACGAAGACUGACGCUCAGGUGCGAAAGCGUGGGGAGCAAACAGGAUUAGAUACCCGCGUAGUC